AGCUUUACACAAUGGCAGUGUCGUAGGCAAUGAGGUUUAUCUGAGGUGUGAGUAUUUCUAACUGAAAAAUUUUCCCACUAUAGAUUAGUCUGUAUUUUCUGGAGUUUCAUAUGAA
rnacentral:snRNA from 1 species